rnacentral:rRNA from 1 species
AGUGAACGCUGGCGGUAGGCCUAACACAUGCAAGUCGAACGGCAGCACAGUAAGAGCUUGCUCUUACGGGUGGCGAGUGGCGGACGGGUGAGGAAUACAUCGGAAUCUACUUUUUCGUGGGGGAUAACGUAGGGAAACUUACGCUAAUACCGCAUACGACCUACGGGUGAAAGCAGGGGAUCUUCGGACCUUGCGCGAUUGAAUGAGCCGAUGUCGGAUUAGCUAGUUGGCGGGGUAAAGGCCCACCAAGGCGACGAUCCGUAGCUGGUCUGAGAGGAUGAUCGGCCACACUGGAGCGGAGACACGGUCCAGGCUCCUACGGGAGGCAGCAGUGGGGAACAGUGGACAAUGGGGGGAAGCCUGACACAGCGAGACCGAGUGGGUGAAGAAGGCGUUCGGGUUGUGAAGACGGUUUGUUGGGAAAGAAAAGCAGCCGGUUAAGACGACGCGGUUGUGACGGUACCGAGAGAAUAAGCACCGGCUAACUUCGUG